rnacentral:rRNA from 1 species
AACGAACGCUGGCGGCAUGCCUAACACAUGCAAGUCGAACGAGACCUUCGGGUCUAGUGGCGCACGGGUGCGUAACGCGUGGGAACCUGCCCUUAGGUUCGGAAUAACUCCCCGAAAGGGGUGCUAAUACCGGAUAAUGUCUUCGGACCAAAGAUUUAUCGCCUUUGGAUGGGCCCGCGUUGGAUUAGCUAGUUGGUAGGGUAAAAGCCUACCAAGGCGACGAUCCAUAGCUGGUCUGAGAGGAUGAUCAGCCACACUGGGACUGAGACACGGCCCAGACUCCGGGGGGAGGAAGCGGCCGGGAAUCUUCCGGAAGGGGCGAGAGGGUGAUGGAGCAAAGGGGCGGGAGGGAUGAACGUCCUCGGCCCGGAAAAUUAUGUGAGUAGGGGAGAACAAAAGUGUUAGUACCUGGGCACAUAUUGACGGUACCGAAUCAGAAAGCCACGGCUAACUACGUG